rnacentral:rRNA from 1 species
CCUACGGGUGGGCUGCAGUGGGGAAUAUUGCACAAUGGGGGAAACCCUGAUGCAGCGACGCCGCGUGAAGGAAGAAGGUUUUCGGAUCGUAAACUUCUAUCAGCAGGGAAGAAGAAAGUGACAGUACCUGACUAAGAAGCCCCGGCUAACUACGUGCCAGCAGCCGCGGUAAUACGUAGGGGGCAAGCGUUAUCCGGAAUCACUGGGUGUAAAGGGUGCGUAGGCGGUAGGGCAAGUCAGAUGUGAAAGCCCGGGGCUCAACCCCGGGACUGCAUUUGAAACUGUCUUACUAGAGUGCAGGAGAGGAAAGCGGAAUUCCACGUGUAGCGGUGAAAUGCGUAGAGAUGUGGAGGAACACCAGUGGCGAAGGCGGCUUUCUGGUCUGUAACUGACGCUGAGGCGCGAAAGCGUGGGGAGCAAACAGGAUUAGAUACCCCUGUAGUC